UCAAGCGAACAAGGGCGCAGGGCGAAUGCCUUGGCACUGGGAGCCGAUGAAAGACGUGAUAAGCUGCGAUAAGCUUCGGGGAGCUGCAAAUAAGCAUUGAUCCGGAGAUUUCUGAAUGAGGAAACUCACUUGAGUUCAUACUCAAGUACGUUGCACUGAAAUUUAAAAUAGGUGCAUCGGGGGAACCGCCUGAACUGAAACAUCUAAGUAGGGCGAGGAAGAGACAUCAAACGAGAUUCCGUAAGUAGUGGCGAGCGAACGCGGAAGAGGGCAAACCGUGAGUAGAAAUACUUGCGGGGUACGGACUGCUUUUAGGACUUAAUCUGUUAACCGAACGGCAUGGGAAGGCCGGUCAGAGAGUGUGAGAACCACGUAGGUGAAAACGGAGAGAGCUGCGCAGAUUCCAGAGUACGGCCAGACACGUGAAACCUGGUCGGAAGAUGGGGGGACCACCCUCCAACCCUAAAUACUACCCAGUGACCGAUAGCGUAUAGUACUGUGAAGGAAAGGUGAAAAGCACCCCGGGAGGGGAGUGAAAUAGAACCUGAAACCCUGUGCCUACAAGCACCUAGAGCGCGUCAAAGCGUGAUAGGGUACUUUUUGUAGAACGGUCCGGCGAGCGAUUGUAUGCAGCAAGGUUAAGGACUUAAGGUCUGGAGCCGAAGCGAAAGCGAGUUUGAAAAGGGCGUUAAGUUGCAUACAAUGGGCCCGAAACCGGGUGACCUACCCAUGGUCAGGUUGAAGUGGAAGUAAAAUUCCAUGGAGGACCGAACCGACCUCCGUUGAAAAGGCGGCGGAUGAACUGUGGGUAGCGGAGAAAUUCCAAUCGAACCCGGAGAUAGCUGGUUCUCCCCGAAAUAGUUUUAGGACUAGCCUCAAGUUAGAUACCUGGAGGUAAAGCACUGAAUAGCCUAGCGGCCGAGAGGUUAGCGAAGCUUAUCAAACUCAGAAUGCCAGAGUAUUGAUGCUUGGGAGUCAGACAGUGUCAGAUAAAUGUCAUUGUCAAAAGGGAAACAGCCCAGAUCUACAGCUAAGGUCCCAAAGUCAGGUUAAGUGGAAAACGAUGUGAAGAUACGCAGACAACCAGGAUGUUGGCUCAGAAGCAGCCACUCAUUCAAAGAGUGCGUAAUAGCUCACUGGUCGAGCGUCUUUGCGCGGAGAAUUUAACGGGGCUAAACCUGACACCGAAGCUUAGGCAAUCCAGUAAUGGAUUGGGUAGGGGAGCGUUGUAUACGCGGAGAAACAGUAGCGUAAGCGGCUGUGGAGUGUAUAGAAGUGAGAAUGCCGGAAUGAGUAGCGCGAAUGCAGUGAGAAUCUGCAUGGCCGAAAGCCUCAGGUUUCUGGAGGAAGGUUCGUCCGCUCCAGGUUAGUCGGGAGCUAAGGUGAGGCCUAACGGCGUAGCCGAUGCACAGACGGUAGAGAUUCCGUCACCACCAAAAGAGUUAAGCACAGGGACACAUUUGAAGUCUCAGAGCCGGGUGUUGGUUCCGGUAGAGAUCGAGGGAAGUUAGUACCGAAGUCUGAGAUGGAAGAUGGCGAGAAAAGCUGUGUGUAUUUCUGAGGUGCCCGUACCGCAAACCGACACAGGUAGGUAGGAAGAAGAUUCUAAGGCCAACGGGAGAAGGGUUGUUAAGGAACUCGGCAAAUUGACCCCGUAACUUCGGGAGAAGGGGUGCUCCAGAGAUGGAGCCGCAGAGAAUCGGCCCAAGCAACUGUUUACCAAAAACACAGGUUUGUGCUAAAUCGAAAGAUGACGUAUACGAGCUGACGCCUGCCCGGUGCUGGAAGGUUAAGAGGAGAUGUGCAAGCAUUGAAUCGAAGCCCCAGUGAACGGCGGCCGUAACUAUAACGGUCCUAAGGUAGCGAAAUUCCUUGUCAGGUAAGUUCUGACCCGCA
rnacentral:rRNA from 1 species